CCCUGGACCGCCUGAGGGCUGCCGCCCCGGGGCCGCCCACCUCCCCAGCACGGGUCCCGGCCCCUCGGCGGGCGCCCGCGACUCUCCCGCCUGCCCUCCCUUCCCGCCGGCCGCCUCCAGACCACCUCCCGCAGUUUCCCGGCCUUCGUGGCUUGGCUGGCGCGUCCGCGGCGCUCCGACCGACUGGAUCCCGCGAGCCCGCUCCCAGGACCAGGGGCUGGACCCAAGAUUCAUUCCGAAUAUAGGGUUCCUGCAAGAGAAGUGUUGAAAUCUCUAACUGUAAUUGUGGAUUUAUCCAUUUCUCCUUUCACUUCUCAUGUGAAGUAGCAAUCCAAGCCACUUC